rnacentral:rRNA from 1 species
ACGCUCGACACCUACGGGAGGCCGCAGUCGGGAAUAUUGCGCAAUGGAGGAAACUCUGACGCAGUGACGCCGCGUAUGGGAAGAAGGUUUUCGGAUUGUAAACCAUUUUAGACAAGGAAGAAACAAGACAGUACUUGUAGAAUAAGCUCCGGCUAACUACGUACCAGCAGCCGCGGUAAUCUGAGCGGGCUGGCAAGGC